rnacentral:rRNA from 1 species
CUGGGAUUAGAUACCCUGUUAUUUAAAAUGUAAAUUGUUUAUUAAGGUAGUAAUAGUUAUGUUCUUUAAACUUAAAAAAUUUGGCGGUAUUUUAGUCUAUUCAGAGGAACCUGUUCUGUAAUUGAUAAUCCACGUUGGACCUUACUUAAAUUUGUUUAGCAAUUUAUAUACCGUUGUUAUAAAAAUAUUUUUGAGAAUAAUAAUGUUUAAUAAUUUAUAUAAAAAUUUAUAUCAAAUCAAGGUGUAGUUUAUGUUUAAGUAGAAAUGGGUUACAAUAAAAAUA